rnacentral:rRNA from 1 species
AGAACGAACGCUGGCGGCAUGCCUAACACAUGCAAGUCGAACGAGACCUUCGGGUCUAGUGGCGCACGGGUGCGUGACGCGUGGGAAUCUGCCCUUAGUUACGGGAUAACACAGGGAAACUUGUGCUAAUACCGUAUGAUGACGAAAGUCCAAAGAUUUAUCGCCUAAGGAUGAGCCCGCGUAGGAUUAGCUUGUUGGUGAGGUAAAGGCUCACCAAGGCGACGAUCCUUAGCUGGUCUGAGAGGAUGAUCAGCCACACUGGACUGAGACACGGCCCAGACUCCUACGGGAGGCAGCAGUGGGGAAUAUGGACAAUGGGCGAAAGCCUGAUCCAGCAAGUGCCGCGUGAGUGAUGAACGGCCUAGGGUAGUAAAGCGUUACGUUUAACCCGGAAGAUAAAGUGACGUGGUACCGGAAGUAACGUAACGCCCCCGGACUAACGUCCGUGCC